GGGUUGUGAGGUUAAGCGACUAAGCGUACACGGUGGAUGCCCUGGCAGUCAGAGGCGAUGAAGGACGUGCUAAUCUGCGAUAAGCGUCGGUAAGGUGAUAUGAACCGUUAUAACCGGCGAUUUCCGAAUGGGGAAACCCAGUGUGUUUCGACACACUAUCAUUAACUGAAUCCAUAGGUUAAUGAGGCGAACCGGGGGAACUGAAACAUCUAAGUACCCCGAGGAAAAGAAAUCAACCGAGAUUCCCCCAGUAGCGGCGAGCGAACGGGGAGCAGCCCAGAGUCUGAAUCAGUGUGUGUGUUAGUGGAAGUGUCUGGAAAGGCGCGCGAUACAGGGUGACAGCCCCGUACACAAAAAUGCACAUGCUGUGAGCUCGAUGAGUAGGGCGGGACACGUGGUAUCCUGUCUGAAUAUGGGGGGACCAUCCUCCAAGGCUAAAUACUCCUGACUGACCGAUAGUGAACCAGUACCGUGAGGGAAAGGCGAAAAGAACCCCGGCGAGGGGAGUGAAAAAGAACCUGAAACCGUGUACGUACAAGCAGUGGGAGCCCUGAUUUAUCAGGGUGACUGCGUACCUUUUGUAUAAUGGGUCAGCGACUUAUAUUCUGUAGCAAGGUUAACCGAAUAGGGGAGCCGGAGGGAAACCGAGUCUUAACUGGGCGUUAAGUUGCAGGGUAUAGACCCGAAACCCGGUGAUCUAGCCAUGGGCAGGUUGAAGGUUGGGUAACACUAACUGGAGGACCGAACCGACUAAUGUUGAAAAAUUAGCGGAUGACUUGUGGCUGGGGGUGAAAGGCCAAUCAAACCGGGAGAUAGCUGGUUCUCCCCGAAAGCUAUUUAGGUAGCGCCUCGUGAAUUCAUCUCCGGGGGUAGAGCACUGUUUCGGCAAGGGGGUCAUCCCGACUUACCAACCCGAUGCAAACUGCGAAUACCGGAGAAUGUUAUCACGGGAGACACACGGCGGGUGCUAACGUCCGUCGUGAAGAGGGAAACAACCCAGACCGCCAGCUAAGGUCCCAAAGUCAUGGUUAAGUGGGAAACGAUGUGGGAAGGCCCAGACAGCCAGGAUGUUGGCUUAGAAGCAGCCAUCAUUUAAAGAAAGCGUAAUAGCUCACUGGUCGAGUCGGCCUGCGCGGAAGAUGUAACGGGGCUAAACCAUGCACCGAAGCUGCGGCAGCGACACUGUGUGUUGUUGGGUAGGGGAGCGUUCUGUAAGCCUGUGAAGGUGUGCUGUGAGGCAUGCUGGAGGUAUCAGAAGUGCGAAUGCUGACAUAAGUAACGAUAAAGCGGGUGAAAAGCCCGCUCGCCGGAAGACCAAGGGUUCCUGUCCAACGUUAAUCGGGGCAGGGUGAGUCGACCCCUAAGGCGAGGCCGAAAGGCGUAGUCGAUGGGAAACAGGUUAAUAUUCCUGUACUUGGUGUUACUGCGAAGGGGGGACGGAGAAGGCUAUGUUGGCCGGGCGACGGUUGUCCCGGUUUAAGCGUGUAGGCUGGUUUUCCAGGCAAAUCCGGAGAAUCAAGGCUGAGGCGUGAUGACGAGGCACUACGGUGCUGAAGCAACAAAUGCCCUGCUUCCAGGAAAAGCCUCUAAGCAUCAGGUAACAUCAAAUCGUACCCCAAACCGACACAGGUGGUCAGGUAGAGAAUACCAAGGCGCUUGAGAGAACUCGGGUGAAGGAACUAGGCAAAAUGGUGCCGUAACUUCGGGAGAAGGCACGCUGAUACGUAGGUGAAAUCCCUCGCGGAUGGAGCUGAAAUCAGUCGAAGAUACCAGCUGGCUGCAACUGUUUAUUAAAAACACAGCACUGUGCAAACACGAAAGUGGACGUAUACGGUGUGACGCCUGCCCGGUGCCGGAAGGUUAAUUGAUGGGGUCAGCGCAAGCGAAGCUCUUGAUCGAAGCCCCGGUAAACGGCGGCCGUAACUAUAACGGUCCUAAGGUAGCGAAAUUCCUUGUCGGGUAAGUUCCGACCUGCACGAAUGGCGUAAUGAUGGCCAGGCUGUCUCCACCCGAGACUCAGUGAAAUUGAACUCGCUGUGAAGAUGCAGUGUACCCGCGGCAAGACGGAAAGACCCCGUGAACCUUUACUAUAGCUUGACACUGAACACUGGUCCUUGAUGUGUAGGAUAGGUGGGAGGCUUUGAAGUGUGGACGCCAGUCUGCAUGGAGCCGUCCUUGAAAUACCACCCUUUAAUGGCUGGUGUUCUAACGUUGGCCCCUUACCGGGGUUGCGGACAGUGUCUGGUGGGUAGUUUGACUGGGGCGGUCUCCUCCUAAAGAGUAACGGAGGAGCACGAAGGUUGGCUAAUCCUGGUCGGACAUCAGGAGGUUAGUGCAAUGGCAUAAGCCAGCUUGACUGCGAGCGUGACGGCGCGAGCAGGUGCGAAAGCAGGUCAUAGUGAUCCGGUGGUUCUGAAUGGAAGGGCCAUCGCUCAACGGAUAAAAGGUACUCCGGGGAUAACAGGCUGAUACCGCCCAAGAGUUCAUAUCGACGGCGGUGUUUGGCACCUCGAUGUCGGCUCAUCACAUCCUGGGGCUGAAGUAGGUCCCAAGGGUAUGGCUGUUCGCCAUUUAAAGUGGUACGCGAGCUGGGUUUAGAACGUCGUGAGACAGUUCGGUCCCUAUCUGCCGUGGGCGCUGGAGAACUGAGGGGGGCUGCUCCUAGUACGAGAGGACCGGAGUGGACGCAUCACUGGUGUUCGGGUUGUCAUGCCAAUGGCACUGCCCGGUAGCUAAAUGCGGAAGAGAUAAGUGCUGAAAGCAUCUAAGCACGAAACUUGCCCCGAGAUGAGUUCUCCCUGAGACCUGGAGUCUCCUGAAGGAACGUUGAAGACGACGACGUUGAUAGGCCGGGUGUGUAAGCGCAGCGAUGCGUUGAGCUAACCGGUACUAAUGAACCGUGAGGCUUAACCUUACAACGCCGAAG
rnacentral:rRNA from 1 species